rnacentral:rRNA from 1 species
CCCUUAGAUGUUCUGGGCUACACGCGCGCUACAAUGUCAUGAAAACCGGGAUGCUUUAACGAAAUUUAUUGCGAAACCCCAACUCAUGACGCGACUGGGAUUGACGUUUUUAAUUAUUCGUCAUGAACGAGGAAUUCCUAGUAAACGCGAAUCAUCAGUUCGUGUUGAUUAUGUCCCUGCCCUUUGUACACACCGCCCGUCGCUCCUACCGAUUGAGCGUUUUGGUGAGCACUCUGGAGUGCAGCAAUGCAUAAAUGAAUGCAAACCUGAGCGUUUAGAGGAAGGAUAAGUCGUAACA